UAGCUGGGUGUUGGUGACCCGAUGGGUAUGGCUAUCACUCACGCGCUGGCCUCUGGCAUGGGCGGAAUGCGAACCACUGGAGAUCUGGUGGCUCGUAUGC
rfam:Syntrophaceticus schinkii strain Sp3 genome assembly, contig: SSCH_Contig_32